rnacentral:lncRNA from 1 species
GGUGAGAGCAGCAAAGAACCUCAGUCGGCGGGAGGGACGAGAAACAAAGACUGCCCAAGCAAUAAUGGUGGCCUGCACAGAAGGGUUCAGUCAGUCCCAUGGGGGCCGACCCGAGGCUGCCAGGCUACUGGUGGUUGUCACUGAUGGAGAGUCCCAUGAUGGAGAGGAGCUUCCUGCAGCACUAAAGGCCUGUGAGGCUGGAAGAGUGACACGCUAUGGGAUUGCAGUGAGAAUUCACCCUGGAUCUGGAAGAGUUGGGGAGUGGCAGGGGGGCAGUGUCUUGUGAACUGUCCAAGGACUGGGAACUUGAGGAAAACAAGGGCAUUAACUACUUCCCAGACUUCAGCCACAGCAUGUUAGUUGGCUGUGUUCUGUACCAACUCUAAUGCCUCAUUCCUUGAUCUUAUGACCUCUUAGGUCCUUGGUCACUACCUCCGGCGGCAGCGAGAUCCCAGCUCUUUCCUGAGAGAAAUUAGAACUAUUGCCAGUGAUCCAGAUGAGCGAUUCUUCUUCAAUGUCACAGAUGAGGCUGCUCUGACUGACAUUGUGGAUGCACUAGGAGAUCGGAUUUUUGGCCUUGAAG